rnacentral:rRNA from 1 species
UACGUAGGGUGCGAGCGUUGUCUGGAAUUAUUGGGCGUAAAGGGCUCGUAGGCGGUUUGUCGCGUCGGGAGUGAAAACUCAGGGCUUAACCCUGAGCCUGCUUCCGAUACGGGCAGACUAGAGGUAUGCAGGGGAGAACGGAAUUCCUGGUGUAGCGGUGAAAUGCGCAGAUAUCAGGAGGAACACCGGUGGCGAAGGCGGUUCUCUGGGCAUUACCUGACGCUGAGGAGCGAAAGUGUGGGGAGCGAACAGG